UACAGAGGGAGCAAGCGUUGUUCGGAUUUACUGGGCGUAAAGGGCGCGUAGGCGGCGCGACAAGUCACUUGUGAAAUCUCCGGGCUUAACUCGGAACGGUCAAGUGAAACUGUCAUGCUAGAGUGCAGAAGGGGCAAUCGGAAUUCUUGGUGUAGCGGUGAAAUGCGUAGAUAUCAAGAGGAACACCUGAGGUGAAGACGGGUUGCUGGGCUGACACUGACGCUGAGGCGCGAAAGCCAGGGGAGCAAACGGG
rnacentral:rRNA from 1 species